UGGGGAAUAUUGCACAAUGGGGGAAACCCUGAUGCAGCGACGCCGCGUGAGUGAAGAAGUAUUUCGGUACGUAAAGCUCUAUCAGCAGGGAAGAAAAUGACGGUACCUGACUAAGAAGCCCCGGCUAACUACGUGCCAGCAGCCGCGGUAAUACGUAGGGGGCAAGCGUUAUCCGGAUUUACUGGGUGUAAAGGGAGCGUAGACGGCAGCGCAAGUCUGGAGUGAAAUGCCGGGGCCCAACCCCGGAACUGCUUUGGAAACUGUGCAGCUCGAGUGCAGGAGAGGUAAGCGGAAUUCCUAGUGUAGCGGUGAAAUGCGUAGAUAUUAGGAGGAACACCAGUGGCGAAGGCGGCUUACUGGACUGUAACUGACGUUGAGGCUCGAAAGCGUGGGGAGCAAACAGG
rnacentral:rRNA from 1 species